rnacentral:piRNA from 1 species
UAUAUUACCAAUCGUCUGACU